rnacentral:pre_miRNA from 1 species
UAUAUACUCCCUCCGUCCGGAAAUACUUGUCAUCAAAAUGAAUAAAAGGGGAUGUAUCUAGAUGUAUUUUAGUUCUAGAUACAUUCCUUUUUGUCUAUUUUGAUGACAAGUAUUUUCGGACGGAGGGAGUAGCAU